AACGAACGCUGGCGGCAGGCUUAACACAUGCAAGUCGAGCGCCCCGCAAGGGGAGCGGCAGGCGGGUGAGUAACGCGUGGGAAUCUACCCUUCUCUACGGAAUAACGCAUGGAAACGUGUGCUAAUACCGUAUACGCCCUUCGGGAGAAAGAUUUAUCGGAGAUGGAUGAGCCCGCGUUGGAUUAGCUAGUUGGUGGGGUAAAGGCCUACCAAGGCGACGAUCCAUAGCUGGUCUGAGAGGAUGAUCAGCCACACUGGGACUGAGACACGGCCCAGACUCCUACGGGAGGCAGCAGUGGGGAAUAUUGGACAAUGGGCGCAAGCCUGAUCCAGCCAUGCCGCGUGAGUGAUGAAGGCCCUAGGGUUGUAAAGCUCUUUCACCGGUGAAGAUAAUGACGGUAACCGGAGAAGAAGCCCCGGCUAACUUCGUGCCAGCCGCCGCAGUAACAC
rnacentral:rRNA from 1 species